rnacentral:rRNA from 1 species
GACGAACGCUGGCGGCGUGCUUAACACAUGCAAGUCGAACGGAAAGGCCCUGCUUUUGUGUGGUGCUCGAGUGGCGAACGGGUGAGUAACACGUGAGUAACCUGCCCUUGACUUUGGGAUAACUUCAGGAAACUGGGGCUAAUACCGGAUAGGAGCUCCUGCUGCAUGGGGGGGGUUGGAAAGUUUCGGCGGUUGGGGAUGGACUCGCGGCUUACCAGCUGGUUGGUGGAGUAGUGCCUUACCAAGGCUUUGGCGGGUAGUCCGCCUGGGAGCGUGACCGGCGACAAUGGGCCUGCGAUACGGCCCAGACUCCUACGGUGCGCAGCAGUGGGGAAUAUUGCACAAUGGGCGGAAGCCUGAUGCAGCAACGCCGCGUGCGUAAUGACGGCCUUCUGGUUGUGAACCGCUUUCGCCUGUGACGAGGCGUUAGUGACGGUAACGGGUAAAGAAGCACCGGCUAACUACGUG